rnacentral:rRNA from 1 species
AUCAUGGCGAUGCCCACAACAAUUUGAAGCGGUAGCCCUACGCGCACGUAGUCCAUAAAAGUAUAUCCACCGGCUUUCAUUACAAGAGCGUUUGGCGGUGUGGAGAAUGGCGAGGCAAAGCACAUGCUGGCACCAAGGGUGACGGCAAAAAGGUAGGGGUAUGGGCUGGCGGCGGUUUGUGUGGCAGCGGCCAUGGCUAUUGGGGCCAUAAGUACGGCCGUGGCGGUGUUGCUGAUAAACAUCGUGAGCAGAGAUGUGGCAAUAUACAAUCCGGCAAGCAUGGCUGUAGGACCGGCCGAGCCGAGACUGUCUGCCAAUGUCUGGGAGACAGCGGAUGAUACACCGGUUUUUUGGAGUGCCGUGGAUAGAGGCAUCAUAGCGGCUAUGAGCACAAUGCUUUCCCAAUUGAUGGUCUUGUAUGCAGCUUCAACAUUGCGGAAGCAUCCUGUGAAGAUGGUAAGCAGUGCGGCAAUGAUAACGGCUGUAACCGGAGCUACGGGAACAAAAUCGAAUACCAUCAUGGCAAUCAUAAGCAGCAUUAUUGCCGCCGCUACCGGAGCCUUGUAGUCUAAGAGUACGCGGUCGGCUGCGUGUUCGGGCCGUCCAAUGACUACCCAAUUGUCCGCUUCGGAAUUGAGGCUUUGAAUAUCGUCCCAACGGCCUUGGACGAGUAGGACAUCGCCGCAGUGCAUCUUUGUGUCGGCUAUCUGGUCGAGUGAAUGUGCGCCGAAAAUAUACCGGGGCUAAACGUGAUACCGAAGUCUGGGGAUCAAGAAAUUGAUCGGUAGGGGAGCAACGCAUACGGACAGAAGCAGAAGCGGGAGCGACUGUGGACUGUAUGGGAGAGAGAAUGCCGGCAUGAGUAGCGAGAGCAAAGUGAGAAUCUUUGCCGUCGAAAGCCUAAGGUUUCCUGAGGAAGGCUCGUCCUCUCAGGGUAAGUCAGGACCUAAGCCGAGGACAAAAGUCGUAGGCGAUGGACAACUGGUUGAUAUUCCAGUACCACCUUUAGCGUUUGACUGAAGCAGUGACACAGAAGGAUAGACAGAGCGCGUGACUGGUAGAGCGCGUCCAAGCGAUGAGGGAGUUGAUUAGUGAAGUACGGUCAGCAAUCCUGGGUCGUGAUGGGGACUGAAAAUAAGUAGGGAAGCUGUUGAAUUCACGCUGGCGAGAAAAGCUGCUAAGGAGCGAAAGGGUGCCUGUACCGCAAACCGACACAGGUAGGCGAGGAGAGAAUCCUAAGACGAGCGGGAGAACCCAUGUUAAGGAACUCGGCAAAAUGACCCUGUAACUUCGGGAUAAAGGGAGCCACGAGAGUGGCCGCAGAGAAUAGGCCCAAGCGACUGUUUACCAAAAACACAGGUCUGUGCGAAGUAGAGAUACGACGUAUACGGGCUGACGCCUGCCCAGUGCCGGAAGGUUAAGGGGAAGUGUUAGGGCAACCGAAGCACGGAACUUAAGCCCCGGUGAACGGCGGCCGUAACUAUAACGGUCCUAAGGUAGCGAAAUUCCUUGUCGGGUAAGUUCCGACCCGCAUGAAAGGCGUAAUGAUUUGGGCACUGUCUCAACGAGGGGCCCGGUGAAAUUGAAAUACCUGUGAAGAUGCAGGUUACCCGCGACUGGACAGAAAGACCCCAUGGAGCUUCACUGCAGCUUGAGAUUGAAUCUCGGUGAUGCAUGCACAGGAUAGGUGGGAGACUUUGAAGUAUGGGCUUUGGCUUAUACCGAGUCGAUGUUGGGAUACCACCCUUGUAUUGCUGAGAUUCUAACACGGAGGCUAACAACCUCGUGGACCAUCUCAGGUAGGCGGUUUGACUGGGGCGGUCGCCUCCGAAAGAGUAACGGAGGCGCCCAAAGGUUCCCUCAGGUCGGACAGAAACCGACCGAAGAGUGCAAAGGCAGAAGGGAGCUUGACUGCGAGACAGACAAGUCGAGCAGAGACGAAAGUCGGGCUUAGUGAUCCGGUGGUACUGAGUGGAAAGGCCAUCGCUCAACGGAUAAAAGCUACCCUGGGGAUAACAGGCUAAUCUCUCCCAAGAGUUCAUAUCGACGGGGAGGUUUGGCACCUCGAUGUCGGCUCAUCACAUCCUGGAGCUGGAGUAGGUUCCAAGGGUUGGGCUGUUCGCCCAUUAAAGUGGUACGCGAGCUGGGUUCAAAACGUCGUGAGACAGUUUGGUUCAUAUCCAUCGCGGGCGCAAGAAGUUUGAGGGAGGCUGCUCCUAGUACGAGAGGACCGGAGUGGACGGAUCAACGGUGUACCAGUUGUCACGCCAGUGGCACGGCUGGAAAGCCGCAUCCGGAAAGGAUAAACGCUGAAAGCAUCUAAGCGUGAAGCCCGUCCCGAGAUGAGACUUCUCAUCAGCAAUGAGUAAGACCCCUUAAAGACGAUGAGGUUGAUAGGCUGUGAGUGGAAGGCCCGUAAGGGUUGGAGCGACGCAGUACUAAUAGGUCGAGGUCUUAACUUG